rnacentral:lncRNA from 1 species
UCCUUAUUUUAAAUACAAUGCCUGUACCACAACAUUGGUAACUGGGUGCCUGCUUUUCCCUUGUGUCACUUUCCCACCUUGACUCCCGGCUUCAAACUCUACUUCCUGUCUUGCUCUUCUCAAUUCCAGAGAUUAAAAUCCUGGCCCUGAACUGCAGUCCUCUGGUUAGGUUCCUGCUUCCAGCCAUCUCUAAUGCCACCUGCCAUCCUGCUUGGCUUUUUUGGGGGCUCUGCACUGCCCACAUGCCUGGUUAUUUACCUCCUGCAUCUCCCUGGACAUCGUUUUGUUACCUACUACUGGAGCCAGUCCCAACCUGAUAGACUGAUCAGGUUUGGAGGUUUUAACCUUCUCUUGGUUGAUGAGCAUCAGAAACCACCCCAGAGAAGCUAUACAUGGUAAGGGCCCUAAAUUCCCAAGGGAGCAUAAACAGGGUGUCUUAGAGUUUUGGUUCAGUUCU